UACGUAGGUGGCAAGCGUUGUCCGGAAUUAUUGGGCGUAAAGCGCGCGCAGGCGGUCCUUUAAGUCUGAUGUGAAAGCCCACGGCUCAACCGUGGAGGGUCAUUGGAAACUGGGGGACUUGAGUACAGAAGAGAAGAGUGGAAUUCCACGUGUAAGCGGUGAAAUGCGUAGAGAUGUGGAGGAACACCAGUGGCGAAGGCGACUCUUUGGUCUGUAACUGACGCUGAGGCGCGAAAGCGUGGGGAGCAAACAGGA
rnacentral:rRNA from 1 species